UUUGGAGGCUUCAUAUGGUGAUGAGUUUUUAAAAUCUGCGCACAAUUUUUAUCAUGUUUACUCGACAAUCAUGGCAUCUAAAAACUAUUGAGUAUUAAUGACUUUUAAUAUAAAUGGCUUCUUUUGGGGGUUGUUUGGAAGUUCUGGAAAUGAAAUUGUUUUAUUGUCCUGUACAUGGCAUGUUUAGAUGCAGCUUUCAUCAUGAUUGGAGCCAGCCAGCAAAGCUAAUUACUAAAGUUGUGCCCUAGAUAUGUAUUAAAAAUAACUUCGGCUUUCAUAUUGGUUCAAUAAGCAUUUGAGUAUUUGCUGGUAUUUUCUGCAAUGGCCAUUCAAGAUGAUGGAUUUUUAAAGUUAUAAUAAAUGAGAUAUCAAACCUGGAUGAGGAAAUAAGAUUUUGCUUUGAUGUCCUAACAUGGUCUUAGUUGAUAAGUUAGUUUAACAUGUCACCAGGCUUAUAAAAAAAGAAAAGAAAAAGAAAAUAGAGUUAAAAUGUCAGUAUGAAGUUGCAGGUUAACUUGCAAAAACUACAUUAGAGUAUACUAAGAAGUUAGUUAUUCACUCAAAUUGAACAUAUGCUAGGGAUUACCAAAUUAAAGCACAGUAUUGAACUGACCAUGCAGGUGUAUGCAGUAUUCAUAUCCUCUCUUUGAAUAAGUUGGUACAUGUUUAUAGUGUAAGAAGGUUGCCCUCAUCUGUUUUGUGAGUUAUGUGGCUUGGAUUAUGUGAAGCUUCUAUCAUUCUGAUUUUAAGCAUGCAAAUCGUUCACAUGGAAGUUCUUGGGCAAGUAUUUGUGGUUUUGGAUUUCAAUGGUUUUCUGCUGAUUGUUACAAUUAUAUCAUAAUGCUUGCCAUUUUUUGUGGAGGUUGGUGUUUUUAUCAGUAAGAUUCUGGGUAGUUGAGAAUAUCCUUAUGCACGAUCUCUUUUAUGUAUAUUUUCUCAUGCUGUUGUAUUGGACCUUUUGGAGCUUCUUAUGUUAUCUAUUGAACUGAUGAGUAAGUGUGCUGACACCUUAAAUAUGAAUGGAAGGACAAAAGAUUAGUUAUUAAUUCUGCCACCCAGCUCUCUUUUAUGUAUUUAUGAGGUGAAAAAUUGUGGGUUUUAAUAGCUCCAGAAUUUUUAUGACAUUUGUCUGCAAAUGUCCUGCAGUAUCAAAGCAAGCAGGUUGAGGAGGUUACCUGCACAAACUGGAAUAUAUAGAAUUUCCAAUUAUGUUAACGGUUCUUCAGAAAUUGAUUUUGUUCCUUCAAGCUCAGCAGAGUUCCAUUCAUGACUGCGUGCCCUUGUUAUUGGAGAAUUGUUUCAGCAUGCAUUGUAAAAUUUGAUAGUCCUGAUGUUUGUGGCUCGAUUGUACCUCGGUUUGGUUUUGUAAUUGAAUAGAAGGGAACAGAAUCUGCCAGUUAAAUAUUGUUCAGAAAAAGUUGUGUAUUGAGGGGAGACAAAGUUGCUUUUGCAGACGAUACUACAUCUUUUUAAAGCAAUAAUAUGACUUAUGUUUGGUGGUAGGUGAAAUAUCAUAGCUUUCGUCCUUUGUAAAUUGACUUGGUUACUGUAUCAAUCUCUCUUAGUUGUGAUUCAUUACAAAUUUGUAGUGGUUUUAUGGUUUGUAGUUAUCAUAGAAGAGUGAGGUUUGUAUUUUCCAUCAUUUCAUGCAGUUCUAAUAAUAACUGAAGUAGUGGAAAUUGCCCUGGGUGCAUUUGGAAUGUGUUCAUAUACAAUUACAGAACAACAUAGACUACUAUGUUGAAUUGUUUAGAUUGUAGCAUUAAAAAAGCCAGUGUACUUGCAAAAUGUAAUAAAAUUGUUUGUGAUCUUUGACA